UGCAGUCGAGCGGACAGAAGGGAGCUUGCUCCCGGAUGUUAGCGGCGGACGGGUGAGUAACACGUGGGUAACCUGCCUGUAAGACUGGGAUAACUCCGGGAAACCGGAGCUAAUACCGGAUAGUUCCUUGAACCGCAUGGUUCAAGGAUGAAAGACGGUUUCGGCUGUCACUUACAGAUGGACCCGCGGCGCAUUAGCUAGUUGGUGGGGUAAUGGCUCACCAAGGCGACGAUGCGUAGCCGACCUGAGAGGGUGAUCGGCCACACUGGGACUGAGACACGGCCCAGACUCCUACGGGAGGCAGCAGUAGGGAAUCUUCCGCAAUGGACGAAAGUCUGACGGAGCAACGCCGCGUGAGUGAUGAAGGUUUUCGGAUCGUAAAGCUCUGUUGUUAGGGAAGAACAAGUGCGAGAGUAACUGCUCGCACCUUGACGGUACCUAACCAGAAAGCCACGGCUAACUACGUGCCAGCAGCCGCGGUAAUACGUAGGUGGCAAGCGUUGUCCGGAAUUAUUGGGCGUAAAGGGCUCGCAGGCGGUUUCUUAAGUCUGAUGUGAAAGCCCCCGGCUCAACCGGGGAGGGUCAUUGGAAACUGGGAAACUUGAGUGCAGAAGAUGAGAGUGGAAUUCCACGUGUAGCGGUGAAAUGCGUAGAGAUGUGGAGGAACACCAGUGGCGAAGGCGACUCUCUGGUCUGUAACUGACGCUGAGGAGCGAAAGCGUGGGGAGCGAACAGGAUUAGAUACCCUGGUAGUCCACGCCGUAAACGAUGAGUGCUAAGUGUUAGGGGGUUUCCGCCCCUUAGUGCUGCAGCUAACGCAUUAAGCACUCCGCCUGGGGAGUACGGUCGCAAGACUGAAACUCAAAGGAAUUGACGGGGGCCCGCACAAGCGGUGGAGCAUGUGGUUUAAUUCGAAGCAACGCGAAGAACCUUACCAGGUCUUGACAUCCUCUGACAACCCUAGAGAUAGGGCUUUCCCUUCGGGGACAGAGUGACAGGUGGUGCAUGGUUGUCGUCAGCUCGUGUCGUGAGAUGUUGGGUUAAGUCCCGCAACGAGCGCAACCCUGGAUCUUAGUUGCCAGCAUUUAAUUGGGGACUCUAAGGGGACUGCCGGUGACAAACCGGAGGAAGGUGGGGAGGACGACAAAUCACCAAGCCCCUUAUGACCUGGGCUAAACCUGUGUUACAACGGACAGAAAAAAGGGC
rnacentral:rRNA from 1 species